CCUCUCUGUUUUCUAAUAUAUGCCAAAACUCGAUCCUCCCGCCGCCACCGCCGCCACCAUGGAUCACCGCCACUACAUCGAUUUCUCUUUGCCUCUUCAUCAUCACUCAAUCCAGCCCAUCAUGUUUUAUUUUGAGGUUCCAAGGAUGAAGGAGAUCAAGAUUUCAAAGGCCAAUUUGAUGUAAGCCGUGGCUUUUGUGAUGGGUGGAAUUCAGGAAGCUUGCAAUGAUAUUUAAAUCUUUCAACGUUGCGGUGGAGGUUGGCUAUUAUGGUCAAAUCGAAACCAAAGGCAUGUGGAUGAAACUUUGAAGUUAGUAGUGGAUUUGGUGCAAACAACCUGUACACUUGCUGUGGAAUAUAUGGAAGCUUAGAGAAAUAAUCAGUCUAGAUAGCCUGUUGAAAGGUGUACAUGGCCUCUAUGGAUUUGGGGCUUCAAGCAGUAGAGAUAGAGUGUGAAUUUAAUAGUCCAGUAGAUGAAGUAAAGUCAGCUUGACCUACCAAUUUGAGCAUUGGCCACAUCCUUAAUGAUGUUAGACUACUUGGUAGUUGGUUCUUCUAUUAGGAAUAUAUUUUUCUCUUGUGGCUUUCCUUGAACAAACGGACCAACAGAGAAGAUAGCAUUUGAAGCAAAGAACUGGCUGGGUUUGCUAGACAAUGAUGUAUUGGAUGGAGGAGCAUCCCCCAUGUAUUAAGACUCUACUAAACAGUAAUGUA